ensembl:lncRNA
AUGUAGCAGGAGAUAACCGCAGUAUAAAACUGUCUGGUUCUCUCAAUGCCCUUGCCAAAUCAUUGAUCAUUUUAAUAAUAUCAGUCUGAUAAAUCAAAAUACUGCCUUUCUUUGAUUGCAUUUUCCUGAUUGUUAGUUGUUAUCAUUGUCACUUCUUUAUUUUCUGGCACAACAAAAUGUUCCCGGCUCAUCUUGUGCAAACCUGCUGCAGCCCCAGAAGCAACCAUUUCUUUGAGGAGCCCUGUUCCUCUUGGUGGGCAAAGGCACCAGAGAUCAAGAUCUGGGAACCAGGUCCUGGUUUACCUGGUUGGAAUUCAGCAAUGAACUGUACCAAGUGCGUAUGGAACCCAUAUUCCAGGGCAGAAGACAGAUUAAACACAAUUAAUGAAUUUAUAAGUAGUAUGAGAUAUUGGCGAGUGCUGUGAAGACAUUUUACUCAAGAUAAGUUGACAAGGGAUAGCACAGUGGAGUGCAGGGGACACCAGUUGAAUCUCUGGUCUGGGAAGAUCGCACCUGCUGUGGGGCAGCUAGGCCCAUGUGCCACAACUCCCGAGCCUGCGUUCUAGAGCCUGGGAGCAGCAACUGUUGAGCCCACAUGCAGCAACUACCGAGGCCCGUGCAGCCUAGAGCCUGUUCUCUGUGACCAGAGAAGCCACUACAAUGGGACGCCGUGCGCUGUAGCUGGAGAGUAGCCCCUGCCCUCCACAUCUAGAAAAAGCCUG